CCUCCGAUAGCUCAGUGGUAGAGCGUCGGUUUACUUUACCGGUGACGUUGGUUCGAGUCCAACUCGGAGGA
rnacentral:tRNA from 1 species